UAGACAGAAGCCUGCUGGAUGAGGCAUUUAGCUGUUAACUAGAUUAUUGUGGGAUCGAGGCCCAUCUGUCUAG
rnacentral:tRNA from 1 species